UACGAAGGGGGCUAGCGUUGCUCGGAAUCACUGGGCGUAAAGGGUGCGUAGGCGGGCCUUUAAGUCAGGGGUGAAAUCCUGGAGCUCAACUCCAGAACUGCCUUUGAUACUGAAGAUCUUGAGUUCGGGAGAGGUGAGUGGAAUUCCCAGUGUAGAGGUGAAAUUCGUAGAUAUUGGGAAGAACACCGGUGGCGAAGGCGGCUCACUGGCUCAUUUCUGACGCUCAGGCGCGACAGCGUGGGGAUCAAACAGG
rnacentral:rRNA from 1 species